rnacentral:rRNA from 1 species
UACGUAGGGGGCAAGCGUUGUCCGGAAUCAUUGGGCGUAAAGAGCGUGUAGGCGGCCCGAUAAGUCCGCUGUGAAAGUCCAGGGCUCAACCCUGGAAUGCCGGUGGAUACUGUCGGGCUCGAAUCCGGAAGAGGUGAGUGGAAUUCCUGGUGUAGCGGUGAAAUGCGCAGAUAUCAGGAGGAACACCAAUUGCGAAGGCAGCUCGCUGGGACGUGACUGACGCUGAGACGCGAAAGCGUGGGGAGCAAACAGG